GAGUAAUGUCUGGGAAACUGCCUGAUGGAGGGGGAUAACUACUGGAAACGGUGGCUAAUACCGCAUAACGUCGCAAGACCAAAGAGGGGGACCUUCGGGCCUCUUGCCAUCAGAUGUGCCCAGAUGGGAUUAGCUUGUUGGUGAGGUAACGGCUCACCAAGGCGACGAUCCCUAGCUGGUCUGAGAGGAUGACCAGCCACACUGGAACUGAGACACGGUCCAGACUCCUACGGGAGGCAGCAGUGGGGAAUAUUGCACAAUGGGCGCAAGCCUGAUGCAGCCAUGCCGCGUGUAUGAAGAAGGCCUUCGGGUUGUAAAGUACUUUCAGCGGGGAGGAAGGUGUUGUGGUUAAUAACCGCAGCAAUUGACGUUACCCGCAGAAGAAGCACCGGCUAACUCCGUGCCAGCAGCCGCGGUAAUACGGAGGGUGCAAGCGUUAAUCGGAAUUACUGGGCGUAAAGCGCACGCAGGCGGUCUGUCAAGUCGGAUGUGAAAUCCCCGGGCUCAACCUGGGAACUGCAUUCGAAACUGGCAGGCUUGAGUCUUGUAGAGGGGGGUAGAAUUCCAGGUGUAGCGGUGAAAUGCGUAGAGAUCUGGAGGAAUACCGGUGGCGAAGGCGGCCCCCUGGACAAAGACUGACGCUCAGGUGCGAAAGCGUGG
rnacentral:rRNA from 1 species